GCGGAUAGCUGGAUAGUUGCGUCUAUUUUAUAGUCGAGGAAAGUCCGGACUCCACAAAGAAUGGUGCCGGAUAACGUCCGGCCAAGGUAACUUGAGGGAAAGCGCCACAGAAAAUAAACAUCCUGGAAACAGGUUAAGGUGAAAUGGUGAGGUAAGAGCUCACCGCAGGUUUGGUAACAAAUCUGGCAUGGCAAGCCCCACCUGGAGCAAUGCCAAAUAGGAACUAUGACCAACAAUUGUUGGCGGAGACUUUGCUUCGAAUAGUUCGGGUUGGCAGCUAGAUUUCAUUGGCAACAAUGGGACGAGAUGAAUGACUAUUGCCGUAAAAACGGUACAGAAUCCGGCUUAUAGGUUGUCCGCACAN
rnacentral:RNase_P_RNA from 1 species